rnacentral:rRNA from 1 species
GGAGUUUGGGCCGUGUCUCAGUCCCAAUGUGGCCGUCCGCCCUCUCAGGCCGGCUACUGAUCGUUGCUUUGGUAGGCCUUUACCCUGCCAACUGGCUAAUCAGACGCGGGCUCAUCCUGUAUCCUUAAAAAGUUUCCCGAUCGGAUCAUGCGAUCCAACCGGCGUACGCGGUAUUACCAGCCGUUUCCAGCUGCUAUUCCCCGAUACAGGGCAGAUUACCCACGCGUUACUCACCCGUCCGCCACUAAGAACAUCGGAAUCCAUCCGAAGACUUCUUCCGAAGUCCUCCGUUCGACUUGCAUGUGUUAGGCACGCCGCCAGCGUUCAUC